AUUACCGCGGCUGCUGGCACAGAGUUAGCCGGUGCUUCUUUUGUGGGUAACGUCAAUCCUAGUGGCUAUUCACCACUAAGCCUUCCUCCCCACCGAAAGAGCUUUACAACCCGCAGGCCUUCUUCACUCACGCGGCAUCGCUGGAUCAGGGUUGCCCCCAUUGUCCAAAAUUCCCCACUGCUGCCUCCCGUAGG
rnacentral:rRNA from 1 species